rnacentral:lncRNA from 7 species
CUUUUGCUUUUCUUUCAUUGUUCUUUCUAUUUUAGCAAGUUGGCAACAACAGUAAAUAUCGUGACCGGUCAGUGAGGUCCGAUCACCUUAUAGGUGAAAAUGCGCAGAAUUCAAGGAGCUCAACGGCACUCAUUCAAUGACCGGUGGACCAGUGUAACAGUUUUAUGUUUUUGCCUUAUAAAGCGUAUUCUGAAAUCCACGUUUUCAAUAACGUGCUCAGGAUAUGUGUUUUUGACCUUCGGGACAGGCCCCUUCACACAAAUGCAUUCGCAGCCCAUUAUAGAAAACAAGUUGAUCCCAUGGUAGAGGCACGUCUUUACCGAAGGUCCUCAAACUGACAAUUUCUAGCCAUUUUGACUUUGUAUCGGAAUAACGAACUAGCCUUCGUUGCCAUAGCUUUGUCUUGGAGAAUGACGGGAGAAGCAAUAGCUUCGUCGUAAUGGCUCAGAUAAAGCACCUCACCAUGACUUUAGUAUGUCUUGACAACACAUAUAUGAAGGAGAGUGAAAGAGGUGUGCACAACACGUCUUGUGGAGAAAAAUACCAUAUUUCCCUUAGUAGGUUGUGUAUACCGUGUGUAUAGAACUUAGGGGCAUUAAUGUAAUCUCAUACGAAGUUGUAUGCUGUCGUCUCCCUAUAAAUAGGUGUACAAUGCUCAUGUAGAGGCACGUUUUCUCUUUUCACGUGAUCUCCCCAUGCUUAACGCGCUCCGCCUCGCCAAAGUCAUCUAAAUGGUUUUACCUUCAUACCUCCAUUGUGUGUCUCGAAGGGGUACACUACUCCGUCGAUGAAGUGAUGUGCAGAAGACAAGACAGAGUACUCCUAAUUCCGUUUUGGCAAAAAGGGGGGCCUUCCAAGAAACGAGAACUUUCCUUUUGGUUGAAACCUCAGUGGGCGUGUACAACCUAGUUGAACCCAUCGAAAAGCCUUGAAGUGAUCUCCUGGUCUUACACCGAGGAAAUGUGCAAGUGACUUGCAACCAUAUACUAGAUGGAGAUAUUCACACUCCCAAGUAUGGGAGAAUG